rnacentral:rRNA from 1 species
AGAAUCAACGCUGGCGGCGUGCCUAACACAUGCAAGUCGCACGAGAAAGGGUAGCAAUACCUGAGUAAAGUGGCGCACGGGUGAGUAACACGUGAAUUAUCUACCUCCGAGUGGGGAAUAACUGAGAGAAAUCUUAGCUAAUACCACAUAACACUUACGAGUCAAAGCAGCAAUGCGCUUGGAGAGGAGUUCGCGGCAGAUUAGCUAGUUGGUGGGUAAUGGCCCACCAAGGCGAUGAUCUGUA